rnacentral:rRNA from 1 species
ACGUACGGCCAUAGAUACUGGAAAGCACGGGAUCCCGUCCGCUCUCCCCUAGUUAAACCAGUAAUCGGCGGAUCAGUAGUUGGGUCGGUGACGACCAGCGAAUACCCGCUGCUGUACGUU